rnacentral:lncRNA from 1 species
AAGAAGAAAAAUGGAUGAGGGGGUAGAGGAGAAAGAUAAAUACUAAAAAUCAAGCCAUAGCGGGUGGUGGGCAGUAGAACAUGAGUUUUGGGUGAUGGCUGAAUGACAGCAUAGAGAUGUAUAUAACAUGCAGCAAUAGUCACACAACAGUAUGGAGAGGAGAAUGAGCAAUCAAGGAGUUGAGAGCCCUAAAAGGGACCAUUUCGAGUAAUUAAAAAAAAAAGUGGUUCAGUUCAGAUCCUUGUAAAGAAAAAAAUUAGACCCAAAAUCAUUUUCUAACAAAAAAAACUAGACCUAAUUGUUUGAAAUAGUGUGGUUUGCAUCUCAAGAUAUGCGGUAUGUACUGGUCGAUACGAAUCAAAUCGGACAAAAUGAAUUCAUCUAAAGUUUUGUUUUUAUCUUUUUAAAAGAGAGAUUUCAUAUUUUUUCAUUAUUUUUUGUUAUGAGUACAUAUGUUUUUAACACCGCCAAUGUCGGUCCCAAGCCCGAAUGAGAAAGGUGGAGGGUUGCACAAGGCCA